rnacentral:lncRNA from 1 species
CUCUGCGAUUACUGCCGCCACUGAUCAUGCUGUCACUUUCCGAGUGAGCACUUCAUCCUGCGUUUAUUCAUGCCAGAUCUGUUUUGCUUUCGUAAUGAGCACAUAUUACCCCGGCACAAAGAGGAUGAAGGCGGCCGCGUGAUAGAUAGGCGUGAGAUUAAAUGGGAUCUUUAUGACUUCUGCAGCCAUCAGUUCUGACUGUGUGAUAAGACGCGUCGACUAGGGCCCUGAUUUGCUCUUUAUUGGAGCCAAUAUUAGCAUGCGCUCACCAGUGCACGGGCUGAUCAAACCCACUUAAGGUGGACUCACCACAUAGGCCCAGCUGCAGAUGCUGCUGGGAUAGCCAGGAGGGAGGCUGCAGCCCACAGCUGGGCAGGUGGGGGUUGGUGUGGAAUUCUCACACUGCCCUGGGGCCACUUCACCCUGGGUGGCUGCAGGGAGUCCCGGGGGUGAGGUGCCCCUGGCGACCCCGGGCACAGUGGGCUGUCCUGUAUGCCUGGGUCUCAGGGUGGCCCUCUCCUUUCCCACCCCUUACCAGGCUGCCAAGAACGAUGACUCUCCCAACCCAUUCUGGGGACCCAGCAGCCUCCUCAUUGUGUCCCCAGCUCCUGCUCUCUGGCAAGGAGGGAGUUUGGCUUGUUUAGGACCCCAGGGGUGCCAGGCCAUUUCCUGGGUGCGGUCAGUGUCCAGCACCUUCCUCUUCUGCUCGGUAUCAUGGAGACCCCUCCCUCCUCCUGCUGGACAGCCGCCACCUGUACUCAGCUUCGGGCCACCGGGGGAGAGCAGCCACAUGACCAGCGGGCUGGGGCUUUUGCCCCUGAUGGGAGGGGAUGAGGAGCGCACCGGUCUGGCCCUGAGACAAACCCCAGACCAGCCCCGACUGGGACACUCUGCAGGACGUCAAGCAGCGCCCCCCAAAGCUGUCAAGGCCAUCCUAGACCAGCGGGGCCUCAGGAGAUGGUGCAGAGUCCCGGACCAGACAAAGGGCACUGGGAAAGCAGGAACCCGAAGGAAGGCUGGAAUUCAG